rnacentral:rRNA from 1 species
GAUGAACGCUGGCGGCGUGCUUAACACAUGCAAGUCGAACGAUGAAGCCCAGCUUGCUGGGUGGAUUAGUGGCGAACGGGUGAGUAACACGUGAGUAACCUGCCCUUAACUCUGGGAUAAGCCUGGGAAACUGGGUCUAAUACCGGAUAGGAGCGCCUACCGCAUGGUGGGUGUUGGAAAGAUUUAUCGGUUUUGGAUGGACUCGCGGCCUAUCAGCUUGUUGGUGAGGUAAUGGCUCACCAAGGCGACGACGGGUAGCCGGCCUGAGAGGGUGACCGGCCACACUGGGACUGAGACACGGCCCAGACUCCUACGGGAGGCAGCAGUGGGGAAUAUUGCACAAUGGGCGAAAGCCUGAUGCAGCGACGCCGCGUGAGGGAUGACGGCCUUCGGGUUGUAAACCUCUUUCAGUAGGGAAGAAGCGAAAGUGACGGUACCUGCAGAAGAAGCACCGGCUAACUACGUG